rnacentral:rRNA from 1 species
UGGGGAAUCUUGGACAAUGGGGGCAACCCUGAUCCAGCCAUGCCGCGUGGGUGAAGAAGGCCUUAGGGUUGUAAAGCCCUUUCAGCAGGGAAGAAGAUGACGGUACCUGCAGAAGAAGCCCCGGCUAACUCCGUGCCAGCAGCCGCGGUAAGACGGAGGGGGCUAGCGUUGUUCGGAAUUACUGGGCGUAAAGGGCGCGUAGGCGGACUGCCAAGUCAGGGGUGAAAGGCCUGGGCUCAACCUGGGAACGGCCCUUGAAACUGACAGUCUUGAGUCCGGGAGAGGAGAGCGGAAUUCCCAGUGUAGAGGUGAAAUUCGUAGAUAUUGGGAAGAACACCAGUGGCGAAGGCGGCUCUCUGGACCGGCACUGACGCUGAGGCGCGAAAGCGUGGGGAGCAAACA